CUUUGGCACAGCAAUGACAUUUCUUAUUCUUCGAGGCCAUCACUCCUGAGGCAGAAAAUUGGGAUUAGGUUGACUAGACUCUUGUAUUGAUGGUUGAAGGAUGAUCUUAGACGUUUUCCAGCCAGGGUCUGACAACUCUCAACAAAAUCAAGUCACUAGGCCUUUUCUGUGUGCAGGGAAUCUUCUAGCACCUAAAGAAGGGAGUUUUCACAUGGGUAGGAAACAAAGUAAAAUUUUUCAACUGUGUAUAGUUUUCAAUGAGUGUUUGUCAAGGUUUAAGUGACCUGAAAAAGUAAUUAUCAGUGGAUGAGCCUUGGUUCUCUCUUUUCUUUUUUCUGGCAGCACCCUCCACUCAGGGAAAACAGCUACGCAAUCUGCCUUGACAACUUCUAGGAACAAGUGGGAACAGCGGGGUUCUCAGCAAGAUGGCUUUGGGCUAAAGGUCCUCUUUUGCCCCCUUUGACUUUGUCUUGGUAUCCUCAUUCUAUAACCCACCCAUCUUUUAUGCACACUUAUCGAACUCUUAUUAAUUAGAAAUGAAUAAGCAAUCCAGGAAUCUUGCAAUCAUUUUAAGAACCCCUAAAGUUCCAAAGAACUGAAGCUCUAAUCCUGGAGGAAUGGAAAUGGGAGUACGUAGGCAGCCUCCAGCUUUCAUGCAUUGUUGGGGAUAUUAUUAAACUUAGUGGGUUUAGGGUUCUGGGAGAAGGUGCCCCAAACCCCCGUUCUGGUUGCCCUGGGUCCCUGUUUCUGCUGUCAGCCUUGACUCAGAAAUUGUGUGGGAGAUCACGAUGUUUGCUUGGAUUAUUCUGUCUUCGCCCAGAUCACUGGCAGUUGGUGGGGAACCUCUUGGCCAGCCUAGGGUGAUGAAACCUAUCGCUCCAAUAGGAGAAUGGGACUGUGGAUUCCCAAUUGCUCCUCCCCUUCCUUCCUCUCUUUGGGGCUAAAAGUCAAGCAGGCAGAAACACAAGCAGCAACUGACCAAGUAGCCAUCCAGGGAAGAUGCAGCCACUCCUGAUCCUGUUGGUCUUUCUUCUACCCCCUGGGACUAGAGCAGGGAAAAUCAUCGGAGGCCAAGAGGCCAGGCCCCACUCCCACCCCUAUAUGGUUUAUCUUCAGAUUUUGACUCCAGCUGGCGUAAACAUUUGUGGAGGUUUCCUGGUGCGAGAAGACUUUGUGUUGACAGCAGCUCACUGCCUGGGAAGGGGGAUGCCGGGGGCCCCCUCGUGUGCAACAACGUGGCCCAGGGCAUCGUCUCUUAUGGAAAACUAAGUGGGACCCCUCCAGCAGUCUUCAUCAGGAUCUCAAGCUUCUUUUCCUGGAUAAACAGAACAAUGAGACGCUUCAAACAGCAGGGUUAAACUGAGAAGACUGACUCUUCUUCCUUGGGGUGGCAAAUGGUGGGGACAGUGCCAUAGCCUUAAUAAAUGUCCAUGUCUAGAGUGAAAAUAACAGAAUUCUUGUUUAUUCAUAGAACACCAUUCAGUGCACAAUAAAUGUGCAACAGGUAGACCUCUGUUCCCAUUUCAACUGUUUCUUGCUUCCUCCUCUUCCAUUUCUCCCCUGCCUCUGCCCAUCUCUUAAAACUUCACUGUUUUCCAAUUAUUUGAGAUGCCACCAUUAUUAUAUAUUAAAGUGGAACUUUUCAUGAAAUUUCAAUUCUGUCCCCUUUGUC